UACGUAGGUGGCGUGCGUUGUCCGGAUUUACUGGGCGUAAAGGAUGCGUAGGUGGAAAUUUAAGUGGGAUGUGAAAUCCCCGGGCUCAACCCGGGAACUGCAUUCCAAACUGGAUUUCUUGAGUACAGGAGAGGAAAGCGGAAUUCCUAGUGUAGCGGUGAAAUGCGUAGAUAUUAGGAGGAACACCAGUGGCGAAGGCGGCUUUCUGGACUGUAACUGACACUGAGGCAUGAAAGCGUGGGUAGCAAACAGGAUUAGAUACCCUGGUAGUCCCUGA
rnacentral:rRNA from 1 species